rnacentral:rRNA from 1 species
GAUGAACGCUAGCGGGAGGCUUAACACAUGCAAGUCGAGCGGGAUUUACCUUCGGGUGAUGAGAGCGGCGGACGGGUGCGUAACGCGUAUGCAACCUGCCUUAUGCAGGGGGAUAGCCCAUGGAAACGUGGAUUAAUACCCCAUAGUAUCAACGGAUCGCAUGGUUUGUUGAUUAAAAUUUCGAUGGCAUAAGAUGGGCAUGCGUAGGAUUAGCUAGUAGGUGGGGCAACGGCCCACCUAGGCGACGAUCCUUAGGGGUUCUGAGGGGAUUACCCCCCACACUGGGACUGAGACACGGCCCAGACUCCUACGGGAGGCAGCAGUGAGGAAUAUUGGUCAAUGGCCGGAAGGCUGAACCAGCCAUCCCGCGUGCAGGAUGACGGCCCUACGGGUUGUAAACUGCUUUUCUGCUAGAAGAAACCUGGUUACGCGUAACCAGUUGCCGGUAUAGUAGGAAUAAGCAUCGGCUAACUCCGUGCCAGCAGCCGCGGUAAUACGGAGGAUGCAAGCGUUAUCCGGAUUCAUUGGGUUUAAAGGGUGCGCAGGCGGGCUUGUAUGUCAGUGGUGAAAUGCUGCCGCUUAACGGUAGAAUUGCCAUUGAUACUGCAGGUC